rnacentral:lncRNA from 1 species
UCUUAUUUUUAAAAAAAUGUUGUCUUUAAUGCCUCCCCCCAACAAUUCUAGACAAAGGGACCAUUUUGACUUGCUUAAUAUAAACUUAAUUUAUACGUUAUAAUGAUACAUAUUGUAUAAAUAAUGUAUAAACAUGGUCUUGUUCUAUCAGGUUAAUAUAAAGUUAUAUAAACAGUUUUAUUCUUUCAAGGUAUCGCCUCUAUUGACAAAACGAUUUUCCUGUACUAUUCAGUGUUCUUAGUUAAUAGACAAAUUCCUUCUGGAUAAUUUAAAUGGAAGGGGAUUUAUUACAGAGUGUUAAUUGACUGAUAGAAUUUCUGUGUGUGCAUUGAACCAAGGUUGUGUUACAUAGAGAGGAGUGAUGCAAGUUGAAGAAAUGCCCAAACACAUCAUGAUACUGUUUCCAAAAAAUGAAGAAAUCUUGCUGCUGCCUUUGGCUGUUUGAUAGCUGUUCACCAAAUCCUCCUCCAGAGCUGCUUUUGAAACACCUAAGGCCUCCCUGGCCGUGUAUGUAAGAUCUGUGUAGUCCUUGCUUCACAAUAUUGUCUGUACCAUCAAAGUUUCAUGAGUAAAGGAGGUGCCUAUGCACUUAAGUCAAGGAGAUGAGAUCUGGUGAGUGGUCAAUUACGGGAUGAAAGUGGAUACUAUUAUUUUUUGCCCUACAGACUAGUCUGCCACCAGAGUCAGAGUGACCUUCGUGAAUGGAAAAAAUCAGAUCACGUCAUUCUCUGCCUGAAACUCAUCAAUGGUUUUCCAAACUUGCCAGCACCACAGAGCUUCUCUGAUCUCAUGGUCUACCAUACUUCUUGCACCCACAUUCCAGCCACAUUAGAAUAUCAGAGUCAUAAUGUCAGGACCCAUUCUACUUCUUCAAGGUUUUAUCUCCAGCACCUAGAACAAUACUUCUAUAAUGCCAGUUGCCAUGUUAUGACCUGCUAUAUUGAGAGGCCUAUGUGACAAAGAACUGAAGAAAUGAGUCCUCAGUCCAAAAGCCAAUGAGAAAGUGAAUCCUGCCAACAAUCCCUGAAGUGAAUUUAGAAACAGAUCCAUCUUCAUUUGAGCCUUAAGAUGACUGCAGCCUUGUGAGAGACUCAGAGUCAGAGGACCCAGUUAAGUACCUGGACUCCUGACCCACAGGAAUAAUAAAAGUAUGUGAGAUAAAUAUAUGUGCUAUUGUAAAUGCUUGCUAUUUUAAACUACU